UACGUAGGGUGCAAGCGUUGUUCGGAAUCAUUGGGCGUAAAGCGCGUGUAGGUGGCUAGUUAAGUCGAUUGUGAAAGCCCUGGGCUCAACUCAGGAAGUGCAGUCGAAACUGGCUGGCUAGAAGAUAGUAGAGGAAGGUGGAAUUCCAAGUGUAGAGGUGAAAUUCGUAGAUAUUUGGAGGAAUACCGGCGGCGAAGGCGGCCUUCUGGGCUAUUCUUGACACUGAGACGCGAAAGCGUGGGGAGCAAACAGG
rnacentral:rRNA from 1 species